GCAGAGAACCCAGCGCCGGCGCCUGCCAGCAGAGGAGGAGUUACUGGAGUUCAAGGUCUUGAAAUGGUGCCUGCUUUGUAAGGAACGCAGGGUGGUCGGAUGGCAUCACUGACUCGAUGGCUGGGAGUCUGAGCAAGCUCCGGGAGAUGGGGAUGGACAGGGAGGCCUGGCGUGCUGCGGUCCCGGGGUUGCAGAGAGUCAGACACGACUGAGCGGCUGAGCUGACCCGUGAGGCCAGGCCAGCAGGGGAGGUGGCGUUGACAGCAGGGAGAGCGGGGAGAGUCACAGAGGCAGCGGCAGGGACGGAGCAGCAGCUGAGACGCCAGCACGGUGGUCGUCGCGGCGGUGACGUUCUGGCGCUAACGGCACCGGUCGGGGCAGUGAUGGUGGGAGCGCUGGUCUCGGCAGGAGGACUCACUAGAGAUGCUCAGCUGCAGGCCUCAACUCUAAAUGCAGUCGAGGCUCUGAAGAUGCCAAGCUGUGGGUUCCAGGGUUCAGGCUUCCAUCUGUAGCAUCGUCUUCAUCAGCCUCAGCCCUUGCAGGAGUCCUGGAGGAAAGAUACUUGCCAAGUGAAUCCAACUUUAGAGGAUUUGGGGCUUCUUCACAGAGACACAUUCAAAUAUUGACACACGGAAGACGAGAAACCACGGCCCCUGGGACUCUCUCCUCCCGAGUCACCACGUCCAGUGAAGCUGGAGACUCAGGAAAGCGUGCAGACCAGGCUCGGAGAUCCAGAACGGGGGGCAGAGGCCCUCGGGGAGGAUUUUUAACUGCGGGUUAAAUCAUCUUUACAGAAGAUUGUUUUCGCUUUCAUUAAUGUUGCAGUAAGCAUCGCAAACAAGACUUAUGAAGAAAGAGAAGGCCGGUCAGCUGGACCCAGGGAGACAAGUGGAUAAAAUGAGAGAGCGGUGGUCAUCCCGAAUUUGGCAACGGAAGGAUUAGACUGAGACACAGUAUUUGUCAAAAUGUAAAGUAUUUUGCAAAUGAAAUUUGUAAAGGUUGCAUCAAGUUAGAGAAUAUGUUUCUAGGAAAAAAUACAAGUGUCAUGGAUAUAUAAUUAAUUCUGACAAAUUAUCUUUAAUUUAGUUGAAGUUUCGACCAUGUCAGUAACAAUGUCUCAAACAACCUAUUUCAAGUGUGAUUUUCUCCAGGGUGGAUAAUAUAAAACGCUUUGCAGAGGUUCAUCUGACCAUCCAGUCUUAGAAACAUCUCAAUAUCAGGGUGCCUUGUUCCCUGCAAAAGAAGGGAAGAUUUUGCAACCAAGUGGGAGGUGGGUUGGAAAGGAAAGACCAGGCUUUGUUAGUCCUACCCCAUGGGGGCAACUGAAGAGCUACUGGGAUUUGUGAAACUGUGAUUUAUAAAGCCAGCUGCUUGAUGGCACGCACCCCUCCAGGAAAAUCGCAUGCAACGCUGAACCCCUCCCCGCUGCCACUUUGGAAGAGCUCCUCAGAGUUAGCUGAGAUGCUGUCUUCCAGGCUACACUCCUCAUUUUGCCCCAAAUAAAA